rnacentral:rRNA from 1 species
UACGAAGGGGGCUAGCGUUGCUCGGAAUCACUGGGCGUAAAGCGCACGUAGGCGGUUCGUUAAGUCGGAUGUGAAAGCCCUCGGCUCAACUGAGGAAGUGCACCCGAAACUGGCGAGCUUGAGUACGAAAGAGGAUCGCGGAAUUCCCGGUGUAGAGGUGAAAUUCGUAGAUAUCGGGAGGAACACCGGUGGCGAAGGCGGCGAUCUGGGUCGAUACUGACGCUGAGGUGCGAAAGCGUGGGGAGCAAACAGG